rnacentral:misc_RNA from 1 species
GAUGAAGAACGCAGCGAAAUGCGAUAAGUAAUGUGAAUUGCAGAAUUCAGUGAAUCAUCGAAUCUUUGAACGCACAUUGCGCCCGCCAGUAUUCUGGCGGGCAUGCCUGUUCGAGCGUCAUUUCAACCAUCAAGCCCCAGGCUUGUGUUGGGGACCUGCGGCUGCCGCAGGCCCUGAAAACCAGUGGCGGGCUCGCUGUCACACCGAGUGCAGUAGUUUACUCUUCGCUCAGGACGUGUAGCGGGUUCCGGCCGUGAAACCCCCCAAUUUUCAAGGUUGACCUCGGAUCAGGUAGGAAUACCCGCUGAACUUAAGCAUAUCAAUAAGCGGAGGA